CCUACGGGUGGCAGCAGUGGGGGAUAUUGCACGAUGGGGGGAACCCUGAUGCAGCGACGCCGCGUGGGUGAAGAAGCGCCUCGGCGCGUAAAGCCCUGGCAGCAGGGAAGGAAAUGACGGUACCCGAAGAAGAAGCCCCGGCUAACUACGUGCCAGCAGCCGCGGUAAUACGUAGGGUGCAAGCGUUAUCCGGAUUUACUGGGUGUAAAGGGGGCGCAGACGGCGAUGCAAGCCAGGAGUGAAAGCCCGGGGCACAACCCCGGGACUGCUCUGGGAACUGGGUGGCUUGAGUGCAGGAGGGGCAGGCGGAAUUCGUGGUGUAGCGGUGACAUGCGUAGAUAUCAGGAGGAACACCGGUGGCGAAGGCGGCCUGCUGGACUGCAACUGACGUUGAGGCCCGAAAGCGUGGGGAGCAAACAGGAUUAGAUACCCUAGUAGUC
rnacentral:rRNA from 1 species